CAACGUGUUCCGGGGUCGGUGCAAGUCCGAACCGGCGGUCACAGUCCGCGAACCGGACACCGUGCACCGGCAGGCGCCCGCCGCCCGCCGGGAGCGGUGCCCGGCCGAACCGGUGGAACUCCGGUACCGACAGUCACAGUCUGGAUGGAAGGCAGCACGUUC
rnacentral:ncRNA from 1 species